rnacentral:misc_RNA from 1 species
GGGAAUGGCACCUAUUUUAGGAAAGGAUGCAACUAUUGAGCAGCUUCUCCCGAUUUUCCUCUCUCUUCUGAAGGAUGAGUUUCCUGAUGUUCGUUUGAAUAUUAUCAGUAAGCUUGAUCAAGUAAACCAGGUAAUUGGAAUUGAUUUGCUCUCCCAAUCACUGCUGCCAGCAAUUGUUGAACUUGCAGAAGAUAGACACUGGAGGGUUCGGCUUGCAAUAAUUGAGUACAUACCUCUAUUGGCAAGUCAGCUGGGUGUUGGCUUUUUUGAUGACAAGCUUGGUGCUCUGUGCAUGCAAUGGCUAAAAGAUAAGGUUUACUCUAUUAGAGAUGCAGCAGCAAACAAUGUAAAGCGCCUUGCUGAGGAAUUUGGUCCAAAAUGGGCAAUGGAGCAUAUAAUUCCACAGGUGCUGGAUAUGAUUAAUGACCCACAUUAUCUUUACCGGAUGACCAUCCUUCAUGCAAUUUCUCUUCUUGCCCCUGUCUUGGGCUCAGAAAUUGCUUGCUCCAAACUCCUGCCGGUUAUAAUUACUGCAUCAAAAGACAGGGUACCGAAUAUCAAGUUCAAUGUGGCUAAGGUG